rnacentral:lncRNA from 1 species
UUGGGUAUUUGCGAUGAAGAAGAUUAGAUAUACAUAUAUAUACUGGAUUGAAAUAUCGUGGUUGAGGAGUAAAAAUCGAAUUUGUGAAUUUGAGGAUUCGUCAAAGAUUUGAAGUGUGAAAGAAAUCCUGCUGUGGAAGGAAAAAAUCAAGAUUUGAAAUCAAAGUUUUGCUGCUGUGGUUGUCAAAUUUUACGGAAAGGGAGUUUGAUUAGUGAAUAGGUGUGUGCUUGUGAUUUUUCUGAAUAUAUAUAGAAUGUUCAGAGAAAUACUUGUAGUUGUAGAGAUGUAAAAAAAAACAGGAAAUGAUAAAUUGUACUGAAAUAGAAAUUUCAUAGAUUGAAAAUUAAUACCAUG